UGCAGUCGACGGUAACAGGUGUAGCAAUACAUGCUGACGAGUGGCGCACGGGUGCGUAACACGUAUGCAACCUACCCACCACCGGGGGAUAACCCUGAGAAAUUAGGGCUAAUACCCCAUGGUAUCGAGAAACGGCAUCGUUUUUUGAUUAAAGAUUGAUCGGUGAUGGAUGGGCAUGCGCCCCAUUAGCUAGUUGGUGAGGUAACGGCUCACCAAGGCGACGAUGGGUAGGGGACCUGAGAGGGUUAUCCCCCACACUGGUACUGAGACACGGACCAGACUCCUACGGGAGGCAGCAGUAAGGAAUAUUGGGCAAUGGUCGAGAGACUGACCCAGCCAUGCCGCGUGCAGGAAGACGGCCCUAUGGGUUGUAAACUGCUUUUUCACGGGAAUAAUCGCCACGACGUGUCGUGGUUUGCAGGUACCGUGGGAAUAAGCAUCGGCUAACUCCGUGCCAGCAGCCGCGGUAAUACGGAGGAUGCGAGCGUUAUCCGGAUUUAUUGGGUUUAAAGGGUGCGUAGGCUGGUACUUAAGUCAGUGGUGAAAUCCAACGGCUCAACUGUUGAACUGCCGUUGAUACUGUGUACCUAGAGUUUAGUUGACGCGGGCGGAAUGUGUCAUGUAGCGGUGAAAUGCAUAGAGAUGACACAGAACACCGAUAGCGAAGGCAGCUCGCGAAGCUAACACUGACGCUGAUGCACGAAAGCGUGGGGAUCAAACAGGAUUAGAUACCCUGGUAGUCCACGCUGUAAACGAUGAUCACUAGCUGUGGGCGAUACACUGUCCGUGGCCAAGCGAAAGCGAUAAGUGAUCCACCUGGGGGAGUACGUCGGCAACGAUGAAACUCAAAGGAAUUGACGGGGGCCCGCACAAGCGGAGGAGCAUGUGGUUUAAUUCGAUGAUACGCGAGGAACCUUACCUGGGCUUGAACGUACGGUGCAUUGGGGUGAAAGCCCCAUUUCUAGCAAUAGACUUCGUACGAGGUGCUGCAUGGCUGUCGUCAGCUCGUGCCGUGAGG
rnacentral:rRNA from 1 species